rnacentral:misc_RNA from 1 species
GUAGGUGAACCUGCGGAAGGAUCAUUAAUGAAGCCUGGAAACCCUCCCCUCGGGGACGGGAGACCUCUCUCUCAUCACACACCCUUGUGAACCCACACUGUUGCUUCGGCGGCAAACGGUCGGAGACGACCACCGCCGGAGGAUUCUUUGCCAAACAACUGCCCAACGAAGCGUCUGAACCACAAGCAAGAAAAAAAUUGUAACAAAACUUUCAACAAUGGAUCUCUUGGCUCUG